rnacentral:rRNA from 1 species
CCUACGGGGGGCAGCAGUGGGGAAUAUUGGGCAAUGGAGGCAACUCUGACCCAGCAACGCCGCGUGAAUGAUGAAGGUCUUCGGAUUGUAAGGUUCUGUGAUGGGGGAUGAACACAAUGACGGUACCUCUUGAAUAAGCCACGGCUAACUACGUGCCAGCAGCCGCGGUAAUACGUAGGUGGCAAGCGUUGUCCGGAUUUACUGGGUGUAAAGGGCGUGUAGCCGGGCUGACAAGUCAGAUGUGAAAUCCCGUGGCUCAACCACGGAACUGCAUUUGAAACUGUCGGUCUUGAGUAUCGGAGAGG